rnacentral:rRNA from 1 species
UACGAAGGGGGCUAGCGUUGCUCGGAAUCACUGGGCGUAAAGCGCACGUAGGCGGAUUGCUAAGUCAGGGGUGAAAUCCUGGAGCUCAACUCCAGAACUGCCUUUGAUACUGGCGACCUUGAGUCCGGGAGAGGUGAGUGGAACUGCGAGUGUAGAGGUGAAAUUCGUAGAUAUUCGCAAGAACACCAGUGGCGAAGGCGGCUCACUGGCCCGGUACUGACGCUGAGGAACGAAAGCUAGGGGAGCAAACAGG